AACGAACGCUGGCGGCAUGCCUAACACAUGCAAGUCGAACGAGACCUUCGGGUCUAGUGGCGCACGGGUGCGUAACGCGUGGGAACCUGCCCUUAGGUUCGGAGUAACUCCCCGAAAGGGGUGCUAAUACCGGAUAAUGUCUUCGGACCAAAGAUUUAUCGCCUUUGGAUGGGCCCGCGUUGGAUUAGCUAGUUGGUAGGGUAAAAGCCUACCAAGGCGACGAUCCAUAGCUGGUCUGAGAGGAUGAUCAGCCACACUGGGACUGAGACACGGCCCAGACUCCUACGGGAGGCAGCAGUGGUUAAUAUUGGACAAUGGGCGAAAGCCUGAUCCAGCAAUGCCGCGUGAGUGAUGAAGGCCUUAGGGUUGUAAAGCUCUUUUACCCGGGAUGAUAAUGACAGUACCGGGAGAAUAAGCUCCGGCUAACUCCGUG
rnacentral:rRNA from 1 species